GCCCGAGUGGCGGAAUGGCAGACGCAGGGGACUCAAAAUCCCCCGGGGGCGACCCCGUGAGAGUUCGACUCUCUCCUCGGGCACCU
rnacentral:tRNA from 1 species